UUUUUUUUUUUUUUUUUUUUUUUUUUUUUUCGCGA
rnacentral:ribozyme from 1 species